GACGAACGCUGGCGGCGUGCUUAACACAUGCAAGUCGAGCGGUAAGGCCCUUUCGGGGGUACACGAGCGGCGAACGGGUGAGUAACACGUGGGUGACCUGCCUUUAGCUCUGGGAUAAGCCUGGGAAACCGGGUCUAAUACCGGAUAUGACUCCGCGGCGCAUGUUGUGGGGUGGAAAGCCUUGUGCGGCUGGAGAUGGGCCCGCGGCCUAUCAGCUUGUUGGCGGGGUGAUGGCCUACCAAGGCGACGACGGGUAGCCGGCCUGAGAGGGCGACCGGCCACACUGGGACUGAGACACGGCCCAGACUCCUACGGGAGGCAGCAGUGGGGAAUCUUGCGCAAUGGGCGAAAGCCUGACGCAGCGACGCCGCGUGAGGGAUGACGGCCU
rnacentral:rRNA from 1 species